rnacentral:RNase_P_RNA from 1 species
UGAGACCCCUUGAUGGCCGCGGCCGCGCCGGUCCGCCGGCACGGCUGAGGAACUUCCGGGCUCCGCAGAGCACGAUGGCGGAUAACGUCCGCCCAGGGCGACCUGAGAGAUAGCGCAGCAGAGAACAGACCGCCCGGCGUUGCCGGGUAAGGGUGAAACGGCGGUGUAAGAGACCACCGGGCCGCUGGUAACAGUCGGCCGCAUGGCAAGCCUCAUCGGGAGCAAGGCCAAGCAGGAGGCGUUCGAGGGCUGCUCGCCCGAGCCUCCGGGUAGGCUGCUAGAGCCUGGCGGCGACGCCAGGUCGAGAUGGAUGGCCAUCCGUGCCGCGCAUGCGGCACGACAGAACCCGGGGUAUAAGGGGUCUCACUUU